GGAUCUUAGGGAAGUUCCACUGUCACUGUCACAUUCAUCUUUGUGUGCAAUAACGGAGUCACUACCGACAACGUCCAAUAUUAUGACCACAGUGCCGGUUAGGGAUUACCUGAGACAAAUGACCGUAGAUCAGUGCAACAGUAGUUGCGAUGCAUUACCCAAGAUGCCUUGCACUCUUGGAUAUAAAUGUACCGGUCUCGGGCGUAACUAUACCUGCAGUCUUCUCAGCCCAACUCUGAAUGUUACGUCAAAGACUACUAAUAUCACAGUGAAAAUGUCAUUUUUUGGUUUGAAAGGUGGGAAGGCUUGGCAAUAUUGUGUUUCUCUGAAUGCAAUACCCGUGAUUGGACGCAAUUGGACAUUAGCGUUCAACACAAAGAGUAUUUGUGGCGAUAAAGAAGUACAAACUUUCUCUGGUCUCGAAGAGUUCACCACAUACUUAGUUACGUCAUGGAUAACUGACAUAAAUGGAGUGGGUUCUGUAAACACGACCAUGAA